UCGUUUGUCAAUCCAUAUCAACUUUGCGUACAGGGACCCUGACAAACGGCUUCCACAUGCAAGGAAGGCAGCAGGCGUGCAAAUGACCCACUCCCGAUGCGGGGAGGUAGUGAUGACAAAUAACAAUACAGGACUCUUUAGAGGCCUUGUAAUUGUAAUAAGUCCACUUGAAAUCCUUUUACUCUGAUCAAUUGGAGGGCAAAUCUGGUGCAGAGCGACUGACCCGUGCGUGCUGCAGCUGAAACUCCACUA